UUUUUUUUUUAAACACACUAAAGGGGAAAAUAAGCAGGUAGUUGUGUUUCUUUUAAGUGGAAAUCAUAUUAAAAUGCAUCUGUAAGUAGAAGCUAGGAAGGAAAGAUGUGUGCAAACCAAGGUCUUGUGGGGAAUGAUGUCCGCUCUGUCUGGUGAACAGCAAUGCAUAAAGGAAAAUUUACUGAAAAAUCGGUCAGUGGAGAAUAGUCAUCACAGCACAAGUCAAGUCCCAAAUAGCAACAUGUUUCAAGGUACAGUAGUGAACACAGAGAGUUCAACAUAAAGAUCAUCAGAUGAAUCAAAAGCGGUCUGGAAUUAACUAUCUAGCAUGUAAAGAAGUACACAUCCAGUUGGGAAAUCUGCAUGUGGCAUGAUGAUAAACUUGUUCUAUGUCUUCAUAUGAAUGAACAUUUCUCUUGAUAUUUGAGAAUGCAGGACAAUCAGGUAAUUAAAAGGAAGUUUCCUUUCCAAUCCACUUAUGAUUAAUAAUUUUAAGGAAAGCUAUGCUUGUGGAACAUACCAUUGGGUGUUACUUUCCCAUAAUUUGCUUCUGAUUACAUGUGGAAAGUAUAGAAUUACAGAGAAUGGGCAGGGAAGACUCAUCUUUCUAAGACUUUAAUAACAAAGUAAUGAAUUCAAUGGAAAGACUGACAAUAUGAAUUUAGUGUUUCUCCCCUACAAUUAAUUUUGUGCACAUAUCAAAUGGAUCAUGUGUAAUAUUGAUAUUGAGUAAAUAUCAAAUGGAUCAUUUUUACACUAAAUGUUCAAAUAUUCAGGGCAUUUGACCAUUGAUAUUAUUCAAUGUCUUGCUAUAUUUUGCCUGCAGAAAGUGCUUCUGAGACUUGUCGUACUAUCCUCUUAUCAAAGGUAAGAUCUGGAUUAUCAUUCGUGAUAUUCAGAAAGCUUUUGAAAUGUGGCUUUUUCAAUCUGAAUUUGGAUAUUGAGAAAUCCACAAGAGAUGGUGAGAAGGUGGAAGUGAUAAAAUAUGAGUCAUGCAUGUUCUGCCUCUAACAGAUAUGCAAUAUUUUGCCAGGUCAUUUAUAAAUGGGUGAAGUUUGUGUUGUGAUUUCAACAUGCACAUUUUGUCAUUUUAGCAUCAUCAUCACUAGCUGCAGACACCUGAUUCAGGGACUGAAGGAUGAAUAGUUAGAUAUCUACCCAUGACAUUAAAUCGAAAGGACUGACAAUAAUAGAGGCAAUUUUAAACAGAUAUUGAAAUAUGUGAUGACAUGUUUUAAUGAUGGUGCUAUAUUUUAUAAUCAGGAAUGACUAAGAAUUAAACCACUACAUUAUGGUAUAGUUCUAUGAUUUGGGUCUACGUUUUAUGAUCAUUGUAAUUUGAAUCAAAUUCUGUAUUUUCCUUCUUGAGAGUCAUUUAUUUUAGAAUUAUUGAAACUGCAUAAACACAUUUUAUAAUAAAUAAAUAAAUUUGGAACUUUGACUUCAAUUUAUCGCCCCAAAUGUUUGUUAAUGGGCUGACUUUGUUUUUCUUCUGUCUUCUUCUGUCUUCUCAUUUGAAUUGUAAGAUUUUGGUUAAUGUAAAAUACUAAUAAAAAGCAAAAUGGU